rnacentral:tRNA from 47 species
CGGAGUGUGGCUCAGCCUGGUAGAGCACCUCGUUCGGGACGAGGGGGUCGCAGGUUCAAAUCCUGCCACUCCGACCA